rnacentral:ncRNA from 1 species
AGCUUCUGGAGAGAGGCGCGCCAUAGCGUCCGCCGUCGGGAUAACGCUCUCAGGCAAACAUACAGAAGGGGCGCA